GGCAACAGGGCAGCACUGGAGCUGCCCACCCGCAUGCUCUGCCUAUGGCUCCCAGCUCCCCCAUCUCCGGCCGCAUCAUCUUCUAUGAGACGUCCUGACGUCUCUCCCAGCUCUACUCCCUUAGUCCCGAGGUGCUGCAGCGUUUGGGCAGGGGGUUGUCGAGCAGGAAAUGAGAAUGAAAGCCAGCCCAGGGUGGGCAGGCACCCAGCAGCCAGGCAUGUCGGACAGCCCCCAGCAGCAGAAUGAGGUCCAGUGAGGAAGCAGCAACAGCAGGCAGACUGUAGCGAUACAAGUAUAUCAAUUGAAAUAAAAUAGUGGUGAGCCUCCUAUUGUUUACCAAAAGAGAUGAUAUUAUCACUUGAAAUAAAGGUGUGCCGAGAGAGCUGAAAAAGUCACAGAUAUCAACAUCUAAACACAUCACAUGAUUCCCUCUGUCUUACCAAUCUAGGUGUCCAAACAGUGGUCGACAUCUGUUUUUUCCUUUCCAUGCCAUUUGAACCAACAGUUGUACUUAGUUUGUGGAAGACUCUUCAGGCCUUUGUGUAUUUCUCAUUACUUCAUAGCACUGUUCUAAACUAUGUUAUUGUUAGCAGUUUAGUAAACAAAUCAACUUGGAAA